rnacentral:lncRNA from 1 species
GUCGGCCACUCAGCUGCUGUGAGUUCAGAGAAAGGAGGCGAUGCUGGCUUUGAGGGAGACCCUUCCUUCCCCUCUGACCACUGCAUGUGUCACCCUGACGUGUCUCCUCCCGAAGACAGAGACCCUGCCUUUCUGGAUGGUUGUCAUCAGCCACCUUCUCCGCUGUGCUUGGAAUAAGUGCUUUGGUAGAGGCAGAGGACAUCGAGGUAGGUCUGCUGGGGAAUGGUCGUGGUGUCAGAAAACCGCACAGGGGCUUCUGAAGGUGGUCGGGGGUCUGGGUCUUAGAGUCCUGUCUGGCCCCUCUCAUCCCCAGACCCCCCUGUGUCCAUGAGUUUUCAUACAUCCAAGUGAAGUCAGAUCCGAGAAGUCUCCUCAAUGUUUCUGGCUGUCUAAGCGCCUGGAGGAAUUGUACCUCCUGGUCUACUGUGGUCGAGUGGAGCCACGUGACCAGUUGUGACCAAUGGGCUAUGAGCAGGAAGGGCCCUCGCUUUCCCUCUCCCACAAUGGCUGACAGUGUUCUAAACGGCGACCCAUCAACCUGUGUCUUGGAGUGAGGGCCAGAUAAAGCAGACCCUCAGCCAACCCCAUAUGGGCAUAUUGUGUGUGUGUGUGUGUGAAAAAAAAAUAAAUCUUUGUUGCGUUAAGUCACUGAGAAUUUAGAGCACCAUUUAUUACUACACUAGAGCCUACCACUCACCACAGUGGUUCUUAAACCUCUGGGUGUUUUUUUUUUUAAUAUUUUUAAAAAUUUUCCCAUUGUACAGCAAGGGGGUCAAGGUUAUCCUUACAUGUAUACAUUACAAUUACAUUUUUCCCCCUUGAAAUCUCAUAGGACACGGGCAACUCCCCAUGUCAGUUUUUCAGUGUCUUUAUAGGCACCCACAGCUAUCAUUUUUCACCGCUGCGCCCUUUGCCUCAGUCAGUGCUCACCCAGUCCAGAUAAUCGUGAUUUCCUUAGAGCCCGCUGGCCACGCGCCACACCCUUUCCCAUGCUUCCGACCUCGGCGCCUGACCUGCUUUAGAACCGUGUUCCAUCUGCCGUGGCGCCGGGAGAGUUUCAUCCUCUGUUGUUACUCACCGGUUACAUGGGAACUCGCCUCUUCCCACGGGCAACCCAGUACCCUUCCAGGCAAGCGAUCCCAGAGAUCACAGGAAAGAAAGGCUGCCAAACCAGGAGCAAGAGCUCGAAUCACACAGGGUCGUGAAGCCACCGAAAAGAGAGAGAUACACAGGGAGCUGAGCAGAUGCAGACACUUAGCACAGGGUACCAGGGGGCGGAAGGACCACGCUGCCUGAAUCCUGGGAUGGCCGAUGCUCUGUCUCGCUGCUGCCUCUGCCUUCCCCGCGGAUGCUGUGGGAACGGCUGUGGGUACGAGACCGCAGUUGAAGUUUGAGGUGCACAGAAGUCUGGAAGGUGCCUGGGGCCAAUGACGAGCUCACGCUCAGUCAGAGAGAUGCAGAGACAGCACGCCCAACCACAGCCGCCCCCGCCCGUCUCCAAUUAGCCUGAGGAACAGCCACGGUUAUUUGCAUUUCUUGGACACAUGGGGCCAGAACAGUGUAACCAAUGGGUGGCUGAAUAUUGAGUGCCUCGUAUGCCUCAUGUAUAUUUAGUUGAUUAUGAAUAUGUAGUGCCUCAGGUGCCUUGAAUAUAUUUAGUGCCUCAUGAAUAUUUCGUGUCUCUUGUAUAUUUAGGACCUCAUGAAUAGUAGGCAUCGCCUGCUCCUUCCAUCUCUUUUUAUCUUUGUUCACCCAUCUGUGCUGCCUUAUCUAACAUCUCCCCGACCCCGGUACUGGCUUCCUUAUCAGUGACAAAGUUCAUCCAGCCCACUUGUUUACCUGUUUUCUGUGGCAGACCUGAAUCUUCUCAAACAGCAAAAACAUAUUACAUCCGUUGUAGCAAACACCAAAUUGUCUGUCUUGGCCAGAAUUUUCUUCUGUGACGUCCAUGGGGUGCCUCAGCCUACUGCUCAGGCACUUUUGAGGCACAUAAUUGGCACAACCAGCCAGCGAGGUCAGUUUUCUUAUGCUUGCUUUCCACAUGGGGACGUUGAAACACAGAGAGGUUUCGAAACUUGCCAGAGGCCACACAGCUGGUAAGAAGCACAAAAGAAUUUGAACUCAGG